CAAGAAAAAUUUCAGUGGGAUAUAUUCUGAUAUGAAUAGUAUUUUAAAACAAUUUGUUCUUUCCACUUAUAGGUUUGAGGAUGAUCAGAUCUCAAAUAUAAGCAAUCAAAUUUCUAUAUUUUAGUCUCUAAUAUUUUUGAGUUUAGUCUGUCACUAAUUAUUUAUUUGCAAAUAUGCCCAUUUAUUCUUCAAAUUUUCUUGUUAGUGCUACCCACUAUUCCCUUAUAUCAACUAUGAAGUCCCAAAAUCAAUUAUAAAUUACAUAAGAAAUUAUUAUGGCUCUUUGAUUGACUAAAAAAGAAAUAUCAGUUUAAAUGGAAAACAAUGUAAAAGGAAUAUUUUUUUGAGUUAUUUGGAUAUAUAAGUGUAAAGUAAAUUCAGUUUAAUGUUUUUUUUUUCGUUUGGUUUGAAGUUAAAUGAAUGUAAUGUAAAGUUUGAAAAUAGUGAUGAUCGAUUGGCGGUGGCGGCGGCGAAAGUCGAAAGCAGAAGGUGGUGACCAAUAGCGGGUAGCGCGGCGGCAACGACGGUUGCCGGUGGCGGGUGGAGAUGGCGCCGUUGAAGAUAGUAACUGGAGGUGGUGGUCAACAACGGUAGUGGUGACUGACGACAGUCGAUAAUGGUGGUGGGUCUGGCAAGUGUUGCGCCGGUGGCUGGCAAUGGUUGGCGAUGAUAAAACAAACUUGCUUUUGGUAGAAUAUGGAAAUCAAACGGGAGACGCUUCAAAGCUUCUGAUUCCUCUAAAUCAACCUUUGUUCUUUCGUCAAUGCGCACUCGGCUUCCUCUGUUAUCUCAAGCACUUACUGUGGCGAUUCCUAUUGCUACCUCCAUUUCCGUUCUUCUGUGGACUACUCCAGUGAAUGCUGGGUUUCUCUCGGGGUUUACUGGGCUUGAGUCUGUUCCAGGCCCUCAGCUACCAGAGAUUGAUUUCCUCAAGAAAUGGAAUGAUGAGAAUCAGAAGAAGUAUGCAGAGUUUGAUUCAAGGUUUAAACAAUCAACUGUGCUCAAGGAACUAUUGGAGAAAUCAAAGUUGAAUAAGGAAAGGAAUAAAAGGGAAAUCCAGGACAAAUACUGCCUUAGAGGUGCUGAAUGGGGUGUAGGUGACUGCUCCACCCAAGGAAUGACAGCAGAAGAAAGAGACUCUUUCAUUGAAACAUUGAAGAAGAAAAUCAAGGAAUGAACAGUGCAGAUGGAUUCGGGCGGGAAUGAUGCUAAGAUGUGUAAUGGGGAUAUCGCUGUGGUUUCUAAGGAAAGGGCGGAUAAGGGGGAUGAGGAAGACGUGGAGGCAAGCUCACUUUUGUCAUCGGCGUUGAAGAAAGGAGGGAUGAAGGGGAGGAGACAGAGGAGCAGGAGGAAGAAAGUCCGGUGGAAUGAUUGUAAUGGCAACAAGCUUGUAGAAGUUAUGGAAUUCCAGCCAAGUGAUUCAAGCGACUCCGAAGACGAAUAUCGUUCAACUGACUCGAUUUGGUGUGAUGCUUUCGUCAGUUGCAUGCUCAUUUGCUGUUGCCUUCGAGUACAAAGAUGACAAAUCUCAAGCAGCCAAAAUCAUUCAUUUUUUUUCAUGAUGGAAACAUCCUUCUUUCCCUUCAUGUUUGUUUUGAGAACUCUAACAACUGUUUAUAGUUGGCAUUUUAGAUUUAUGGGUGGCAUUGAGAAGCACAAAAGCAAAAUUUCCAAAUUUAAAGCUGCUGGCUCUGCAGAUCAAUGGAGAAGAGUUUCAUAGCAGCUGGUCUAUUAACCUUUUAUUUAUAAGCAGAAAUUGAGUUAACGGCUCCGAUUUCGUCAACGGCCCGGUUGGUCAGACAAGGUAGUCCCGUGAUAUGCCCAUUUGAGUAUGAAUUCAGGCAGCUUAGCCAAAAAACCCGUUCUUCCUUCUUCGUUUCUCCCAUUCGGACACCCAGCAGAAGACUUCUCCUGGUCCGGCUCGGGGACCUCCCUCCUCUCCCUCUCUCUACACUCCAACCCCUCUCGCGCAAGAGAAGACGAGCAAUAUCAGCCCUUCUAUAGAAGCUCCCAGUGGCGGAACUACUGUAGCAGCAGGGGGGGCAAUUGCCCCCCCUCAAAAAAUGUAAAAUUCCCUUAAGAGUAAGGGUUGUUAAGUAAUUUGCCCCCAAAUAUGUUAAAACUUGCCCUAAUAUUUCAUUUUUCCGCCUCAUUUGUCCCUAUUCCUCUCCGAAAGCACAGAACGGCGAACGCUGAGUACGCGACCCUCUGCCAUCUCCGGCUCUCUACCUGAUUUUUCGUUCUUGUCUUCUUGACAUUCGAAUCGGGGAAGAAGACUGAAGAGGACAUCAUUUUUCAUCAUUCUUAGGUGCUUUGCAAGGGAUUGGACCCUGCUUCGACUUCGCAGCAAGGGAUUGGAUCAUUGGAACUCGCCGGAGGAAAAUUAGCCGUCAAAGUGAAGAUUAUACAGCCAUACAGAUGAAAGGCUGGUUCCGCCCCUGGAAGCUCCCAUGCCGCCGGCUUCCUCCAUUCCACGUACAGCAGCAGCCUUCCAGGCCUUCGGACGUCCUGCCACGAGAUCUUCCGGCCUACCACCAGCCCGAGCUAAUCUGCCUCACAGUGAUCUCCCUGACAGCUCAAGUAGCUGAAUCACUUUCGUGUCUUCCAUAUUCUGCUUCAGCAGUUGGGGCAAAGCAAGGUUAGUGGAGCUAUUGUUGUUCGUCCCUUUUGAAGAGGGGAGUUCUGUCGUCUACAACAGUGCGAGGCGAGCAAAAAGAACAGAAGAAGAGAAAGGAGACCAUCUCAUCAGGUGGAUAUUGAUGGAAGAGAAGAUGAACACAUGGCUUCUUUAGUAUCAGAUUCCCAUACGAGCCAUCAAGAUCCUUGGGGUGACGAGAAGGAGAUUGGAUAUUUUGGCUUUUCUCGGUUUACUGCUCAGAGGGCACAGUGAGUAGGUUGCGGCUACAGCCGGUGAAGCAGAAGAAGAAAGCAAGAGCUCUGAUACCAUGAUGAAUGCUUUAGCUAGAUUCAAGAACAGUAAACAAAACAAAAGGUAAACCAUAAACAGAGUAUAAAACUGAUUUUGAACUAAACCAUAUUCUGUAUUCCUCAACACAUUUGAUACAACCCAAUAUAUGUAUUUAAAUCGGCAGAUGAGAUAAGAAGGUAAUGUAGAGAAGAAAAGCAGCCGUUAGAUAAGUAUAUUAGAGAACAGUUGAGAUGAGUGCAGAGGAAUUCUGCAUUGGGCGGCUGAGGUAGGCGCUGUAGUUUCUGGUGUUAGUGUACAGAGAAAUGGUUAGUAACUAUGAAGCCGCCUCCACUUAACAAUUGUACCUUCAAAUACGACAGAAGCGCCGCCCUAUCAUUGUCUUUCAUGUUCAACUUCUCCCACCAUUGUCUGUCACCCCAAAUCUUUUUUAGCUUCCUUACAGCCAUCUCCUUCCCAAAAGGCAGUGCCUUCAUCUCCGGGUAAUCCAUAACAUGCAUCACUUCCAAUGAAGAGAACACAAAUGACACUCCAAACACUCUCAAGCUUCUCAAAUCUCUCACGCAGAGCCUCCUAAGACUUGGGAAUGCCCAUCCGACUGCCCCAACGCUAUCUCCUCCUCUCCACGGAGACCGAUUUCAUUAUCAAGUUCGACUAUUUGCUCCAUUUCGCUGCAACGGUACGAAGUCAGAUCUUCCAAGCUCGAUAACCGGAUCACCCACGAGAGAUUUGACAAGUUGUGGCAACCAAAAAUCAUCAAUACUGUCAGACUCGACAGCAUUUCCGCAUGAUAAACUCCUCUCCAAACAAUAUCCUUUAUCUCUGACAAGCUCCUGAGCUCUACUUCCACGAGAGGGAAUACUUAUUGUUACCAUCUACACCACCUCUAAACUCUCGCAAAACUCGAUUUUCAGCAUAUUGAUACUGAAAUGAAUGAUUCGGCUCCCUCACUACAAAGUCAAGAACCUGACAGACUUAUGGUGUUGAUGUUGCUGCUAACAUAAACGAAUGUUGCAUCUUCAUAGUCGUAUCAGUCGUUUUAGUAUCCAGAUGCUAAAAGUGGAGUUUUGUGAUAGUUUAGAGGUGAUGUCGAUGGUAUGUGACGGUGACGGCGAUAAGUGUUCCCACUCAAGACUGGACGAAGUAGAGCUCAGAAGCAUGCCAGAGCUAAAGGAGAUUGUUUGGAGAGGAGUUUGCCCUGCCGAAUUCGAUUGUGCUGACGAUUUCUAGUUACCACAACUUGCCAAACCUCUCGUGGCUGAUCUGAUUACUGAACUUGGAAUAUCUCACAUUGUACAAUUGCAUCGAAAUGGAGCAAAUAACUGAUAUUGAUAAUGAAAUCGGUCUCGAUGGUGAGGAGAAUGACGUUGGGGUGGCCGGUUGGGCAUUCUCAAGUCUUACGAAGCUCUGCUUGAGGGAUUUGAGAAGCUUGAGAGUAUUUGGAGUGUCAUUUGUGUUCUCUUUCAUUGGAAGUGGUCCAUUUUAUGGAUUGCCCGAAGAUGAAGACGCUACCUUUUGGGAAUGAGAUGACUAUAAGGAGGCUUAAAAAGAUUUAGGGUGAUAAACAAUGGUGGGAGAAGUUGGACAUGGCAGGGGAAGAUAGGGCUGGACUUCUGCCAUAUUUGAAUACAUCAGCUAAUUACACGCCACUGAUCAAAAAUACAUUAGGUAAAUCCUACAAAUAAUAAGAUUUCAUUCUUAGAACUACAAACACCGACCUCGAAAGCAUUGCUAGACCACAAAAACAUAUCCUUACCCGCCAAACCACCAAUGAUCGAUGCCUACAAGACGGAGCGUCAAGGAGGCUGAAGUCGCUAAGUUACGGUUGCAAGACAACCAGCUGCCUUCUAAUCCAUAGAGAGAGAGGAGCCCUUGCCCAAUUAUGUUGGACUUGAGGUAUAUAAUUUCUUAAUCUGCACCUCAGGUCCUCAAGUGGCGAUAAAGCCGCAGCUAACUCUGGCUUUUCAUUGGUUUAACUAUGGAUAUAUAUGGUAUGUUGCUUCUUUCAUAUUUAAAGGAUUUUCAUCAAUUCUUUUGAUGGUUUAUGUUGUUAAAAAUAUGAUCAAAUAAUGUGCAUUACUGAAUGAUUUCAUCAUCAUAUUACAAGUACG